AUUGAACGCUGGCGGCAGGCCUAACACAUGCAAGUCGAACGAGUGGCGGACGGGUGAGUAAUGUAUGGGAAACUGCCUGAUGGAGGGGGAUAACUACUGGAAACGGUGGAUAAUACCGCCUACUAUCGGAUGUGCCCAUAUGGGAUUAGCUAGUAGGUGGGGUAACGGCUCACCAAGGCGACGAUCUCUAGCUGGUCUGAGAGGAUGACCAGCCACACUGGAACUGAGACACGGCCCAGACUCCUACGGGAGGAAGCAGUGGGGAAUAUUGCAAAAUGGGCGCAAGCCUGAUGUAGCCAUGCCGCGUGUAUGAAGAAGGCCUUCGGGUUGUAAAGUACUUUCAGCGGGGAGGCGUUACCCGCAGAAGAAGCACCGGCUAACUCCGUGCCAGCAGCCGCGGUAAUUC
rnacentral:rRNA from 1 species